rnacentral:hammerhead_ribozyme from 1 species
ACCCAUCUGACGAGUCCCAAAUAGGGCGAAACGCGUUUCCUUCUUUACAU